rnacentral:rRNA from 1 species
UUAAUGGAGAGUUUGAUCCUGGCUCAGGACGAACGCUGGCGGCGUGCCUAACACAUGCAAGUCGAGCGGUCCAGCACUCAACUCGGUGUGUACGUGAUGCAGAAGAGAAACCCUUUCACCCGGGAGGGAAGAAGGGGGGUAGUGCAUCAGGUAUACAGCGAGUUGAGUGCUGGAUAGCGGCGGACGGGUGAGUAACGCGUGGAUAACCUGCCCAUUAGACCGGGAUAACGCCGGGAAACUGGCGCUAAUACUGGAUACGCUCCUCUGGUCGCAUGGCUGGGGGAGGAAAGGCCGAGCACUCAACCCGGUGUUUGCAUGGCGGUCUUACGGAAGGCAAUCUCCCGGGAGGGGGGGUAGCGGGUAAGGCGACAUGUAGGCAGCGGGUUGAGUGCUGGCCGCUAAUGGAUGGGUCCGCGUCCCAUUAGCUAGAUGGUGGGGUAACGGCCUACCAUGGCGACGAUGGGUAGCCGGCCUGAGAGGGUGACCG